rnacentral:rRNA from 1 species
GACGAACGCUGGCGGCAUGCCUAACACAUGCAAGUCGAACGGAACUUGUUGAAUGAAGUUUUCGGAUGGAUUUUAGCAAGUUUAGUGGCGGACGGGUGAGUAACGCGUGAGCAACCUGCCUUUCAGAGGGGGACAACAGUUGGAAACGACUGCUAAUACCGCAUAACGUAUCGGGAUCGCAUGAUCCUGAUACCAAAGAUUUUAUCGCUGAAAGAUGGGCUCGCGUACGAUUAGAUAGUUGGUGAGGUAACGGCUCACCAAGUCGACGAUCGUUAGCCGGACUGAGAGGUUGAACGGCCACAUUGGGACUGAGACACGGCCCAGACUCCUACGGGAGGCAGCAGUGAGGAAUAUUGGGCAAUGGGCGCAAGCCUGACCCAGCAAUACCGCGUGAAGGAAGACGGUUUUCGGAUUGUAAACUUCUUUUAAGAGGGACGAUAAUGACGGUACCUCUUGAAUAAGCCACGGCUAACUACGUGCCAGCCGCCGCCGUAAAAC